rnacentral:rRNA from 1 species
AGAUUGAACGCUGGCGGCAGGCCUAACACAUGCAAGUCGAGCGGUAGAGAGGUGCCUGCACCUCUUGAGAGCGGCGGACGGGUGAGUAAUGCCUAGGAAUCUGCCUAGUGGUGGGGGAUAACGUUCGGAAACGGACGCUAAUACCGCAUACGUCCUACGGGAGAAAGGCGGGGGACCUUCGGGCCUCGCGCCAUUAGAUGAGCCUAGGUCGAUUAGCUAGUGGUGAGGUAAUGGCUCACCGAAGGCGAGAGUCCGUAACUGGUACUGAAGAGGAUAGAUCAGUCACUACGUGGAACUGGA